GCGCACGGGUGAGUAACGCGUGGAUAAUCUGCCUCUGCAAUCGGAAUAACGACUGGAAACGGUCGCUAAUACCGGAUACGCUUAAGUUUUACCUCUUAAGGAAAGAUGACCUCUAUUUAUACGUUAUCGUGCAGAGAUGAGUCCGCGUCCCAUUAGCUUGUUGGCGGGGUAACGGCCCACCAAGGCGACGAUGGGUAGCCGAUUUAAGAGGAUGAUCGGCCACAUUGGAACUGAAACACGGUCCAAACUCC
rnacentral:rRNA from 1 species